AUUGAACGCUGGCGGCAUGCCUUACACAUGCAAGUCGAACGGUAACAGGUUAAGCUGACGAGUGGCGAACGGGUGAGUAAUACAUCGGAACGUGCCCAGUAGUGGGGGAUAGCCCGGCGAAAGCCGGAUUAAUACCGCAUACGACCUAAGGGUGAAAGGGGGGGAUCGCAAGACCUCUCGCUAUUGGAGCGGCCGAUGUCAGAUUAGCUAGUUGGUGGGGUAAAAGCUCACCAAGGCGACGAUCUGUAGCUGGUCUGAGAGGACGACCAGCCACACUGGGACUGAGACACGGCGCAGACUCCUACGGGAGGCAGCAGUGGGGAAUUUUGGACAAUGGGCGCAAGCCUGAUCCAGCCAUGCCGCGUGCGGGAAGAAGGCCUUCGGGUUGUAAACCGCUUUUGUCAGGGAAGAAAUCCUUUGGGUUAAUACCUCGGGGGGAUGACGGUACCUGAAGAAUAAGCACCGGCUAACUACGUG
rnacentral:rRNA from 1 species